CAGUCGCCGCGGGAAUACGGAGGGAGCUAGCGUUGUUCGGAAUUACUGGGCGUAAAGCGCACGUAGGCGGCCACUCAAGUCAGGGGUGAAAUCCCGAGGCUCAACCUCGGAACUGCCUUUGAUACUGGGGAUCUUGAGUCCGGAAGAGGUGAGUGGAACUGCGAGUGUAGAGGUGAAAUUCGUAGAUAUUCGCAAGAACACCGGUGGCGAAGGCGGCUCACUGGUCCGGAACUGACGCUGAGGCACGACAGCGUGGGGAGCAAACAGGAUUAGAUACCCGCGUAGUCCCUGUCUCUUAUAA
rnacentral:rRNA from 1 species